GUCUUUGCAAGGUAAGUGUUCUGGACCAUUGCUGCCUCUUGAGUUUAUCUUCACUGAGCUAACCAAGCCAUGAAGUAACAUUACCUGUUAUCUGCUAGUAAGUCAAGGGGUUGUAACCUGGUUAAUGUAUAUAAGUGAAACAAUAAAAUAGAUACAGUAAGAAAAGUAUGUGUGAUAGCUGAAACAGCCGUAAACCACCUAAGUGGAAACCCCUUAUACCACUUGAAAUAAAAUACAAUAAAUACAUACAAUAGGUGGAACACACAUCUGGCGAGUCUAAAAAAGGAAACAGAAU